rnacentral:rRNA from 1 species
CCUUGUACACACCGCCCGUCAAGCCACCAAAGCGGGGGGCAUCCGAAGUCGUCGGAGCCGCAAGGCAGGCGCCGAAGAUGAAACCCGUGAUGGGGACU